rnacentral:rRNA from 1 species
ACUCCUGCGGGAGGCAGCAGUGGGGAAUUUUGGACAAUGGGCGAAAGCCUGAUCCAGCAAUGCCGCGUGAGUGAAGAAGGCCUUCGGGUUGUAAAGCUCUUUUGUCAGGGAAGAAACGGUGAAAGCUAAUAUCUUUUGCUAAUGACGGUACCUGAAGAAUAAGCACCGGCUAACUACGUGCCAGCAGCCGCGGUAAUACGUAGGGUGCAAGCGUUAAUCGGAAUUACUGGGCGUAAAGCGUGCGCAGGCGGUUUUGUAAGUCUGAUGUGAAAUCCCCGGGCUCAACCUGGGAAUUGCAUUGGAGACUGCAAGGCUAGAAUCUGGCAGAGGGGGGUAGAAUUCCACGUGUAGCAGUGAAAUGCGUAGAUAUGUGGAGGAACACCGAUGGCGAAGGCAGCCCCCUGGGUCAAGAUUGACGCUCAUGCACGAAAGCGUGGGGAGCAAACAGGAUUAGAUACCCUAGUAGUCCCA